AAGCUUCUUCUUGCUUCUCAAAGCUUUGAUGGUGUAGCCGAACUUUGUAUGAGUCUUUUGCGUUGUAUCUUCUG
rnacentral:sRNA from 1 species